rnacentral:rRNA from 1 species
UACGUAGGGUGCAAGCGUUAAUCGGAAUUACUGGGCGUAAAGCGUGCGCAGGCGGUUAUGCAAGACAGAUGUGAAAUCCCCGGGCUUAACCUGGGAACUGCAUUUGUGACUGCAUAGCUAGAGUACGGUAGAGGGGGAUGGAAUUCCGCGUGUAGCAGUGAAAUGCGUAGAUAUGCGGAGGAACACCGAUGGCGAAGGCAAUCCCCUGGGCCUGUACUGACGCUCAUGCACGAAAGCGUGGGGAGCAAACAGG